AUUUCUAAGUAUUUUAAAAUGGGCAUUUAAAGAGGGUCACGCGAUUUAUGGGUUUUAGCGCACCUCAUUUUAUUAUUUAAAAGUCGAUAUAAAGCAAGCUAGAAUUUUCUAUUGGAUUUGUCUCUAUGAGGACCUAAUUUAUUUAGCGUUGUUCAUUGGCUAUUUAUUAGAAAGCAGUCGAAGAACGUGGACCUCACACUUAAGCUCAAACCCAUUUUUGAAUCAGAGGAUAACUGUCACACCUCCUUUUUGGCUUACACGUGGCUACCCCGACAGAUGACACGUGCGUAAGAGUUUUUC
rnacentral:lncRNA from 1 species